rnacentral:rRNA from 1 species
AUUAGUAUCAUGUCGUAGACCCGAAACCAUGUGACCUACCCAUGAGCAGGUUGAAGGUGCGGUAAGACGCACUGGAGGACCGAACCAGGGCACGUUGAAAAGUGCUUGGAUGACUUGUGGGUAGCGGAGAAAUUCCAAACGAACUUGGAGAUAGCUGGUUCUCUCCGAAAUAGCUUUAGGGCUAGCGUCGACAUUAGAGAUUCUUGGAGGUAGAGCACUGUUUGGGUGAGGGGUCCAUCCCGGAUUACCAAUCUCAGAUAAACUCCGAAUGCCAAUGAAUUAUGGUCGGCAGUCAGACUGCGAGUGCUAAGAUCCGUAGUCGAAAGGGAAACAGCCCAGACCACCAGCUAAGGUCCCAAAAUAAUUGUUAAGUGGAAAAGGAUGUGGGGUUGCACAGACAACUAGGAUGUUAGCUUAGAAGCAGCUAUUCAUUCAAAGAGUGCGUAAUAGCUCACUAGUCGAGUGACCCUGCGCCGAAAAUGUACCGGGGCUAAAACAAUUUACCGAAGCUGUGGAUACCUUUAUAGGUAUGGUAGGAGAGCGUUCUAUGUGUGAAGAAGGUGUACCGUGAGGAGUGCUGGAACGCAUAGAAGUGAGAAUGCCGGUAUGAGUAGCGAAAGACAGGUGAGAAUCCUGUCCACCGUAAGACUAAGGUUUCCAGGGGAAGGCUCGUCCGCCCUGGGUUAGUCGGGACCUAAGGAGAGACCGAAAGGUGUAUCCGAUGGACAACAGGUUGAUAUUCCUGUACUAGAGUAUGUAGUGAUGGAGGGACGCAGUAGGCUAACUAAAGCAGACGAUUGGAAGAGUCUGUCUAAGCAGUGAGGUGUGAAUUGAGUUAAAUGCUUAAUUCUAUAACAUUGAGCUGUGAUGGGGAGCGAAGUUUAGUAGCGAAGUUAGUGACGUCACACUGCCAAGAAAAGCUUCUAGCGUUUAAACAUACUCUACCCGUACCGCAAACCGACACAGGUAGUCGAGGCGAGUAGCCUCAGGUGAGCGAGAGAACUCUCGUUAAGGAACUCGGCAAAAUGACCCCGUAACUUCGGGAGAAGGGGUGCUGACUUUAAGUCAGCCGCAGUGAAUAGGCCCAAGCAACUGUUUAUCAAAAACACAGCUCUCUGCUAAAUCGUAAGAUGAUGUAUAGGGGGUGACGCCUGCCCGGUGCUGGAAGGUUAAGAGGAGUGCUUAGCGUAAGCGAAGGUAUGAAUUGAAGCCCCAGUAAACGGCGGCCGUAACUAUAACGGUCCUAAGGUAGCGAAAUUCCUUGUCGGGUAAGUUCCGACCCGCACGAAAGGCGUAAUGAUUUGGGCACUGUCUCAACGAGAGACUCGGUGAAAUUUUAGUACCUGUGAAGAUGCAGGUUACCCGCGACAGGACGGAAAGACCCCAUGGAGCUUUACUGCAGUUUGAUAUUGAGUGUCUGUACCACAUGUACAGGAUAGGUAGGAGUCUA